AGAACGAACGCUGGCGGCAUGCCUAACACAUGCAAGUCGAACGAGACCUUCGGGUUUAGUGGCGCACGGGUGCGUAACGCGUGGGAAUCUGCCCCUUGGUUCGGAAUAACAGUUAGAAAUGACUGCUAAUACCGGAUGACGACGUAAGUCCAAAGAUUUAUCGCCGAGGGAUGAGCCCGCGUAGGAUUAGCUAGUUGGUGAGGUAAUGGCUCACCAAGGCGACGAUCCUUAGCUGGUCUGAGAGGAUGAUCAGCCACACUGGGACUGAGACACGGCCCAGACUCCUACGGGAGGCAGCAGUGGGGAAUAUUGGACAAUGGGCGCAAGCCUGAUCCAGCAAUGCCGCGUGAGUGAUGAAGGCCUUAGGGUUGUAAAGCUCUUUUACCAGGGAUGAUAAUGACAGUACCUGGAGAAUAAGCUCCGGCUAACUCCGUGCCAGCAGCCGC
rnacentral:rRNA from 1 species